rnacentral:lncRNA from 1 species
AUCAGAUUAUCCUCAAUAGCCAUCCCUGUGGCUUGCAGCUCCAGGAAUUUCACUGCUAAAACUGCAACUCCUGUGGAAGAACAGAUGCCUGUAGGGAGCCGAGGGACUGCUGUAGCAGCAAAGACUGUCUCAUUUGGCAAGUUCUUGGUUAUUGCAAACUGCCUCAUCCCAAGAUGAGAAUUAUUGUGUGAGGAUGUGCUCACAUCUAUUCCAGGCUGCAAACGGCUGAGCACACCGGCAAGUGAUGCUGAAAAUAUUGAUAUAUUUGCAGUGUGGGAGACUGACACGGUUGGUUCACUUAAAAGAAGGCUUAUUUUUCAUGAUGUUAUGAAACUUC